AACGAACGCUGGCGGCAUGCCUAACACAUGCAAGUCGAACGAGACCUUCGGGUCUAGUGGCGCACGGGUGCGUAACGCGUGGGAACCUGCCCUUAGGUUCGGAAUAACUCCCCGAAAGGGGUGCUAAUACCGGAUAAUGUCUUCGGACCAAAGAUUUAUCGCCUUUGGAUGGGCCCGCGUUGGAUUAGCUAGUUGGUAGGGUAAAAGCCUACCAAGGCGACGAUCCAUAGCUGGUCUGAGAGGAUGAUCAGCCACACUGGGACUGAGACACGGCCCAGACCCCCGCGGGGAGGAGGAGGGGGGGAAUGGGGAAGAGGGGGGGAAGGCUGAAACAAGCAUGGCGGGGGGAGGAAGGAGGCCUUGGGGGUUGAAAAUUUUUUUUCCCGGGGAGGAAAAGGAGAGGCCGGGGAAAAAAACCCCGGGCUACCCCCGUG
rnacentral:rRNA from 1 species